rnacentral:rRNA from 1 species
AAUAUGUGGCAUACGGCUCAGUAACACGUAGUCAACAUGCCCAGGGGACGUGGAUAACCUCGGGAAACUGAGGAUAAACCGCGAUAAGUCACUACUUCUGGAAUGGGUAAUGACUCAAAUCUAUAUGGCCCCUGGAUUGGACUGCGGCCGAUCAGGCUGUUGGUGAGGUAAUGGCCCACCAAACCUGUAACCGGUACGGGCUCUGAGAGGAGGAGCCCGGAGAUGGGCACUGAGACAAGGGCCCAGGCCCUAUGGGGCGCAGCAGGCGCGAAACCUCUGCAAUAGGCGAAAGCCUGACAGGGUUACUCUGAGUGAUUUCCGUUAAGGAGAUCUUUUGGCACCUCUAAAAAUGGUGCAGAAUAAGGGGUGGGCAAGUCUGGUGUCAGCCGCCGCGGUAAUACCAGCACCCCGAGUGGUCGGGACGUUUAUUGGGCCUAAAGCAUCCGUAGCCGGUUCUACAAGUCUUCCGUUAAAUCCACCUGCUUAACAGAUGGGCUGCGGAAGAUACUAUAGAGCUAGGAGGCGGGAGAGGCAAGCGGUACUCGAUGGGUAGGGGUAAAAUCCGUUGAUCCAUUGAAGACCACCAGUGGCGAAGGCGGCUUGCCAGAACGCGCUCGACGGUGAGGGAUGAAAGCUGGGGGAGCAAACCGGAUUAGAUACCCGGGUAGUCCCAGCUGUAAACGAUGCAGACUCGGUGAUGAGUUGGCUUCUUGCCAACUCAG